CUCUGGGAAACAGGAAGUCAACUCCUGCCAAGUGCUCUCCUCCUCCUCUGCUUCCAAAGAUUUUUCUGCCACAGAGCCUCCCAAGAACCCUCCAAAUGAAUGCUUGGGCGGAAUUGGUUGAAAUGUGAGCUCCUUCAUUUGGCCUUAAUGUAACCCUGACCUGGGAGGACAACCUGUCUCUGGGCUUUUCUCUGUGGUAACUCUCCAAAUUAUGGCAAGCAUUUCUGGUCAGAGCUCAAGGAAGUUCCUUCCCAACUUUUGUGAUCCCUAGCUAAAGGAUGAAGAGCAGUGCUGCCAUCUGGAGUCCCUGUCUCCUUGGAAGCCUUUGUGGGCCCACAGAUGCUACUACUUAAAAGGAGGUGCUGCAGAUGCUUUGGAUUUCUUCUCUUUCUGGAAUGAGAUCUUUGGUCUUCCCCCAAGCCUUCUCCCCACAGCCUCCUCCCAGCUUUGUCAUUCUUUGUCAUCCUCAGGCUCCUUAGUGAAUGAUUUGUUUUGAGGUUUUCAUUUCAAUUUUCUCUUGAAAAUUGAUAAUUCUUCUCAUUUGACGUCUAUCUGGCCACUCAAGAUAAGACCAUCCCAAGCUUGCAUGUCACAGAGUUUCUUUGCUAUCUCUAUUGACCAACAGAGGUGUUGAAAUGCAACCAUAAUUCAAAAUUAAAGUCAAAAGGAGCUCAGAA